rnacentral:rRNA from 1 species
GACGAACGCUGGCGGCGUGCUUAACACAUGCAAGUCGAACGGAAAGGCCCUGCUUUUGUGGGGUGCUCGAGUGGCGAACGGGUGCGUAACACGUGAGUAACCUGCCCUUGACUUUGGGAUAACUUCAGGAAACUGGGGCUAAUACCGGAUAGGAGCUCCUGCUGCAUGGUGGGGGUUGGAAAGUUUCGGCGGUUGGGGAUGGACUCGCGGCUUAUCAGCUUGUUGGUUGGGUAGUGGCUUACCAAGGCUUUGACGGGUAGCCGGCCUGAGAGGGUGACCGGCCACAUUGGGACUGAGAUACGGCCCAGACUCCUACGGGAGGCAGCAGUGGGGAAUAUUGCACAAUGGGCGGAAGCCUGAUGCAGCGACGCCGCGUGCGGGAUGACGGCCUUCGGGUUGUAAACCGCUUUCGCCUGUGACGAAGCGUGAGUGACGGUAAUGGGAGAAGAAGCACCGGCUAACUACGUG